GUGACGAAAGGGGGUGCGCGGAGCACKGGGGGCCGGCUGCUCCCCGCCACACCUCGGAGCUGGGGGUCGGCAGUGCGGUCGGGGGCGAACGCGAUCGCGGAGGGGAACAGGGCUCUCCGCACGGUGUAUGCGUCCUGCCGCGGUCUGCUUUUCUCGGGCUCGAGUUAAGUCGCUCUAAAACACCAUGUUGAGCCAAGAAGAAGCUGUGGGUAUCAGCUGUGAGUAUCAGAACAAAGUGUGCUUGCUCUCGAAAACUAUGCUGCACCCCACUUCACAGGGGUCUAGUUGGUCUGGAGUGUGGGAAAUUCUGGAGAACACUGAAUUAUGUCCUUUGAGUACCCACGAUUGAAUUGGUGGCUUCAUUAAUGUACCUUCAGGAUGAAGCUAAUACUGGGAAGAUAAUGAAGGAAAUGGAAAGAAGCACUUUGGUGACACUAUUGGGGCCUCUGGAUCAACACUUGCUUGAUGUCUGAGCUUCAUUUUCAUGAGCCAAUGUAUUACUUUCAUUCUGUAAGACCAGUCAGGGUUUGGUUCCUUGUGGUAAAAAGUAACCAAAUGAAAACAUUUCCUAUUUGAGAUAAGUUGAACAUCUGACUUCAGUUUUAUCACCUCUAAUGAAAACCAAAGUUCUAUGCCACACUUUCUCUGCUGUAAGAAAACCAAGCCUAUAGAAGUCUAGAUUUACAAGAGUAAAUCUUGCAUGUAAAAAUUUCUUUGCAUUUUAAAAGGAGUUCAACAAUUAUAGGAGGUUCACUAUGAGCCAGUUUCACUAUUCAGUCAGUUUUGCAGUAAAUUAAAAUGUGAUUCACUUGAUAUAUUUUUUAGGAACAUAUCAGUUGAGUUAAGUGGAAGCAUUACUGUUCUGGACAUCUGGGGUACUUAAUGUCAUCUCUGUAUGAAACAUCUGAGGAUCUACUAGUAAGCAACCUUUUGUGUCAAAUAUUUAAUAUUCCUUCAGGAGUUAGUUUGAAGCUUGCAAAGACUCUGAGAUUGUAGUUAGAAAUACCUUGUCAAGCAAAUGAGAGAAAAUGAUCAGGCAGCACACUAUACACUGUUUCUGAGGAACAUAGUCUGUGGUGAUUUCAUGGGGAUCUGUAGCAGGUGCAUGAUAACCUUGUGGUUCAUCAUGUACUAUGAAGGAACAGUGACCUUCUCCCUUGAACUUUAGGAUUUCUAGGUAGGAUAGCCAUAUGUCCUUAUUUUCCCAGGAUAGUUCCAGUUUAUGUUGUUGUAAUAACACUCUCGGCCAGUUCCUGCUUAUAAGCUGCAUCAUUGUGGCACACAGCACAUAAUGGCACACAGAUCAAAUUAAAAUUGAGGAACAAAAUAGUAGAGAAAGGAUGGAUUGG
rnacentral:lncRNA from 1 species